ensembl:lncRNA
AGAAGGAGCGAUGCUAAAGUUUUCCGUCUCCGUUGUUGACUGUGUUUGUUUUGUAACUCUAGUAGCUACGGAGAGCAUUUUACUUCUUAAAGUUAAGUUUAGUUAGUUUCUGAAUAAAGCAGCAGCCUGUUAAAAAGACGUUCAGUUUAAAGAUCACCUGUCAGAGUUUCGUUCUUGCGAUGUCCAUCUUGUCCUGGAUUUUUAAGGGAAGCCACGCCUCCAGAGCAGCUCUUUUUAUGAUUGGAUAAUAGAUGUGGCCAGUUUAAGCUGGAAAGACAAGCCCUCUUCCCUAUUUAUAAGAGUGUCCUGGGGGAGAAAAUGGUUUGUUCAGAAGGUAAAAGUGUGGUACAGGUAACUGUGUGAUGCAGCUACCUGCAACAGACUUGGCAGCAGAAUUCAGAAGAGGUCGUUCAACAGGAAUAAAACCCUUUACAGACACUGAGGAUGGAAAUGCUGAAGGAAAAGUGGAGUUUGAGCCAAAAGUGGUUAGAGAUCUGAAAGCCGACAUCUGUCUGAACGAGAUAUUUUUGAAGCGAUGGGAAUGUUUAUGCACCAGAAUAAACACAGAAGUGAUACUUUCUCAACAGAUUAAACACCUAAGAACAGCUCUCUGCCUGUGGAUCUGCUGCCUGUGGAUGUGCUGCCUGUGGAUCUGCUACCUGUGGAGCUUCAGCCUGUGGAGCUUCAGCCUGUGGAGCUUCAGCCUGUGGAUCUGCUGCCUGUGGAGCUUCAGCCUGUGGAGCUUCAGCCUGUGGAGCUUCAGCCUGUGGAGCUUCAGCCGUGUGCUUCUGGGCUUUUCAGUUGUGGUUUGUUGUGCACUUUUUGGAUUGGUUGGCUACAAUAAACUAACUUUUAGACACCACACUGCGUUUGUCUCCCUGCUUUGUUGCAGGCUAUGAGCCAAGCUGUAACAAAAAGGAGAUUUAAAUUUAAUUUUAAUAGUUUUAUCUGAGAUUCAAUCUGGUCAUCAGGGGGUGGGACAAGAGAGAAAUGGCAUUUUAGGGGAACUCUAGACCUAUUUGGUAUUUUAAAAAAUAUUUUCAAACAUUAUUUUCUCCUAGUUUUUUUUAGAUUUGGUCUCAGGACAAGUCAAUUUACACAACAACUGCAUAUUUUAGUAAUUUGUUCAUGGUCUAUUUGAAAUUUCAUGGGUGGGACGUAAAAUGCCCUCCAAUUCUGGAAUGACCCGUUUAGUUUUUUGAGCUUCUUUGUGUUUGUUUCUGACUUCAGUUUAUGAAAUGCUUUGGUUAACCCUUACCUCACCUGUUCAUGACCUGCAUACCUUUACGAGUCUGUAAAUUCAUUACGCCUCAUCUGUAUGCAAAAUGUAAACAUAACCUUAUAUCUUUAUUGCAGUUUUGUAUUUUUUGACUUGCUUUCCCCAUUCUGUGUUUGCAUUUAGCUGCUGUAACAUGUAAAUUUCCCCAGUGAGGGAACAAUGAAGUUUAUUUUGUCUUAACAGCCAAGGUACAGAUGCAGGUGUUGCACAACUGUGAUGAAUGCAAAUGUUACUGUUUC